rnacentral:rRNA from 1 species
AACGUAGGUGGCAAGCGUUAUCCGGAUUUACUGGGCGUAAAGGGUGCGUAGGCGGGUCUUUAAGUCAGGGGUGAAAUCCUGGAGCUCAACUCCAGAACUGCCUUUGAUACUGAGGAUCUUGAGUUCGGGAGAGGUGAGUGGAACUGCGAGUGUAGAGGUGAAAUUCGUAGAUAUUCGCAAGAACACCGGUGGCGAAGGCGGAUCUCUGGGCCGAUACUGACGCUGAGGAGCGAAAGCGUGGGGAGCGAACAGG